rnacentral:tRNA from 1 species
GACGGCGUAGCCUUCUGGCGACAAUGGUCAAUGCAGGUUCGACUCCUGCCGCCGUCCCCA